AGUAAUGUCUGGGAAACUGCCUGAUGGAGGGGGAUAACUGCUGGAAACGGUAGCUAAUACCGCAUAACGUCGCAAGACCAAAGAGGGGGACCUUCGGGCCUCUUGCCAUCGGAUGUGCCCAGAUGGGAUUAGCUAGCAGGUGGGGUAACGGCUCACCUAGGCGACGAUCCCUAGCUGGUCUGAGAGGAUGACCAGCCACACUGGAACUGAGACACGGUCCAG
rnacentral:rRNA from 1 species